ACCCAAUCAAUGACACUGAACACACACCUUCACACUUUCUCAUCAGUGCCAGAACGUCCAGCUUCAGCAGGAUGCAGAAGAGCAGAGGAGGAUGUUUGAGGAGCUGCAGGGCAUCCAGAACAUCCUCAGCACCACCAAACAAGAGCUGCUGUCCCAGAGGAGAAACAACACACGACUGCACAACAACAUCUCUGACGCCGAGCAGGAAAACCUCAGGGUACCUGAUGCAGAUCGGACCAUUUAUAUAGUGUCUUGAACUGACAUCAGUGUUGCUGAGGGAAUCUCGAAUGUUCUUUAGUCAGCAGGUUGCAAUAUGAAGUUGUACAUACUGAUACUGUAUUAGCUUGUGUACUAAUUCAAAAUGACUUUUGUUUGCUGUACGAGCAGCUCCAACAAAACACCGAAGACUUGAGGAACAGACUAACCAGCAGUCAACAGGAGACUGACUCUCUGAGGACAGAACUUCAGCUAGCUCUAGUUAGCGUGGACGCUGAGAGGAGUAAAUACAACGACAAGCGAAUCCACUACAAAAACAAGCUGAGCCGGGCCAGAGGGCUUUACAUGAGAGAGACAGGGUGGCGUGACGAAAAAAUAAAAGACUUGGAGAAAGAGAUUUUUAUUUCCAGGAAACAGGAGGAAAAGGUGCAGUAACUUGGCAGACUGGGUAAUAAAAUCUUAAAGACUGUGUCACCUUUAAAUGAUGAUGCCUGCUCCUCAUCAGGCGUCACACAUGAUGAAGAUGGUCACGUCUGAAAACGAGAGUCUGCUUCAGAAGAACAGAGAGCUUCUUUUACAGCUGCACGACUUCGAAGAGGCACAGAAAAAUGCUUCGGAUGCAGUUGCCUCCAUGCAGAUGAGGAUAAAUUUGCUUGAAGAAGAGAAUAUUCAGCUUCAGCAGACGACGGCACAAAUGUCAGAGCACAUCGAGUGCCUGACGAUACUAGCCGAGACGAACUGCGACGUAAGUACAACUUUUAAACAAGAACAUUCAUUUCAAUGUCAUUUACAGGUCAACAGCGUAAGAACGCUGAUGGCUUAGGUUGUGUAUGAGCAGUCUAAUGAAUUGUGUUCACAUUCUACUGUAGGAAGUCACUGCCGAGAGUCGCGUCAUCGAGGGCGAAGACCAAGCUACUCUACCUACAUGAAUAUCUUUUUCUUUUCAGUGUAAACUCAAUUCUUUUUGUAAACCUAAAUAUUUCAAAAUAAAUUUCUCAUCCCA
rnacentral:lncRNA from 1 species